rnacentral:lncRNA from 1 species
UUUGUUCCACUCCAGUAAGCAACUGAUGGCUGUACGAGAUUGCAUCUUGAGUUUCCCUCAAACCUCUUUUAUUUGAGGCAGCUUUCUCUUUUACCGGUUAUAACUCCUUCUGCUUCCUUAUGUAGGUUCUAACAGAGCCUAGGAGUGCAUUGGGCAAACAGUACAAGAAGUUGUUUCGCAUGAACAAUGUAACUCAUAUUUACCACUAACAGUUACUUGCAUAUGCAUAUGCCUCUUUCCUCAUGCUUUAACCCUCUUUGUUAGGUCCAAUUACAUUUUACUGAAGGUGCAACGAGGCUUAUCGCGAGAAAGGCUAUGUCAAAGAACACAGGUGCACGUGGCUUACGGUCUAUACUUGAAAGUAUCCUCACAGAAGCAAUGUUCGAGGUAUGGUUGAGGAAUGCACCCUUAUACCUUGAAUCUUCAACAUAAAUCAUUGCAUGUUGGUCCCUCCGAACAACUUUGUUGGUGUCUUUAACUGCUAAAUUUUGAAUCCUAAACAGGUACCAGAUAGCAAGUCAGAAGGAUCACAGAGUAUAAAGGCGGUCUUGGUGGAUGAAGAGGCUGUUGGUUCAGAUUGCAAGUUCACAACCGUUCGAUUCACAGAUGGCGAUUAGUUUUGAGCAUGAGUACAUAAGCCGAGGAACCCUAAUCUAACCGUUUCCUCAGUCCAAUGUGUUCAAGAUUGGCGAUUUCGAUUCUGAUCAAGAUUAAGGGUUUACGACACCAAGUGUUUGUAAUGCUGCUGAUAAUGUCAACAAAAAUAGAAUGUGUUCCGGGAUCCAAGGGUGACGAGGCUGAUGCAGAGUGCAAGAAAUGUCAGGAUCCAAGAGAUGUCAGGAUCCAAGAGAUGUCAGGAUCCAAGGGUGACGAGGCUGAUGCAGAGGGCAAGAAAGCUCUUGAGGUGAUGUCCGCAAGGACCUAAGCGAGUUGCUCUUGAGGUGAUGUCCGCAAGCUCUUGUUUGCUUGUCCUUCGUGUUCGGGAUCUUUAGCUUGGUAGGUGAUAAGCGUCUUUUGAAAGUUUGCAGGUUGUUGAGUGACCUCGGGGCCUUGAGGCUUGACUCACGAGUCGUAAUCGAGGACUUGGUGUACCUCAAGAUGAUAACCUUCAAGGGACGGGUAAGGAUUUCCGGGGAGAAGGAAACUCUACCCAAGAUACCUAGGUUCAGGAUCAUCAAACGGGUUGGUAAAGUGGCAUACAAGUUGGAAUUGCCAACAGCAAUGGAUGCAUUCCACAACGUAUUCCAUGUAUCACAACUUAGGAAAUGUCUAACGGAUCAAGAGGUCAUUGUGCCAGAAAUUCCUUCUGAUCUAGGUACGAACUUAACCUUAGUACACACAGGACGUCCUAAAUCUUAAAUAGGAUGGGAAAAGCAAUGAGAAAGAAAAUAAUCCAGAUGGUCAAGGUCGUUUGGUUUUGCGUGAGCAAAUCACUUGGGAGACUGAGGCCAGAAUGAAAGCCGACUAUCCUGAGUGGUUCAAUCAGUUCAUGGAUGAGGAUGCACUUGGUUCGGAUUCGAGGACGAAUCCCUUGCAAGUGGGGGAGACUUGUCGCACCCCCGAUCCUGAAUAGGAUCGUUGGGAUGGCCAUGGAUCGAGGAAACGUACCAGCCAGUCUUAGGACAUAAAGGCAAGCGUUCCAUGGCCAAGAAAGAAGGUUGAGGACGUAAGGAAACUUAGACUUAACCUUAUAUAAGCUAAGAGACAGACAGCUAGGACGAGUAAAACGGUAACUGGACGAAGUAGACGAGUAGCUCAGCCAGCUCAAUGAAGCUAGGUUUAGUUCACUCCAGCUCAGUCCCUACUAAGUCAGCUCCACUAGCUGGACUACUAGCUCACUCAUCUGAGGCAGCUGAGAGUCAGCUCAUCUCAGCUAGACGGACUGUUCGGGCUUUAGGCCGAUGGUCCGGGUCCGGGUCAGUGGCGGGCUGUGAGGUCCGGCCAUGAGGGCAUGGGCUGUCGGGUCUUUGGACAAGGCCGUGGGCUAAGUCCAGGAGGCUUGGGGCGUGGGUUGGGCUUAUGACCGACCCCAAACCCAAUCAGAAAGGGCAAAGGGAUGCAAGUGGCCGCAAUGGCACAACCCUUGGCCGAUGGUGCCCAUUCGCUAGAAAGUCGUGCCUGUUCGUGGGGCAAGACUUACCCCCUCGUUUUCUAUAAAUAUGGGGGCUCUUCUGUCGAUUUCAUUAUCCAAUUCCAGAGUAAAAUAUUCUGAGAAAAACGUACGUAGAGAGAAAGAAAGAGAGGAAGAGAGAGUUCCGGCCAAGAGAAAGGCCGAGUGUGGUGGUGUUGUGUUCCGGCGACUCUGAUCGUUUGAGAACUAACUCCGGUCAAGAAUGGGAGAACAAGACAAGGAGAACAGGACCAAGACUGGGCGGUUAGGACGAACGGUUGGGCAUGACCCAAAAGGCACGAGUUGUCAAGAGUCAUGAUUGUCCAAAGGUUGUGAGUUUCCAAAGGGUGUUAGUGACCAAAAGGUACGAGAUACCAAGGGUUACGAACAUCAAAAGGUACAAGGACCAAGAGGUACGAAUGGCCAGAGGGACAGGUUAUGACCGAUCCUUAUGGAUCAGCCUAUGGCUUGUUUAAGUACGACAAGGUCACUGUUUGUCUAAGCCAAGGUAGAGUCGCAAGGUCUGACCGGUUGCUAAGCCUUCCGGAUUAGGCUUCAGGCUUACUCGGCUGAUUGGAUCCAGGCCUAAGGCCGGAUCAGGUAAGGAAGUCCGUUGGGCCAUUGAGCCGGACUUCAUUGGCCGGUCGCACCUAGAUUCUAUCUGUUCGUGUGUUCUGUUUAUUUAUUCUGGACUAUCUAUCUGAUUCUAAGUCAAGGGGUGGUUGGUUGAAUGACUUAGGAUGCAGUAGAUAGGUUCAUAUUUUUUAUGAUUAUGUUGACUGAGGUUUAUCUAAGUUCUAGGGACCAAGCCAAGCAUUGUAGAAUCAAUCCGUUCUAUUCUCGGUUAUGAUUAAUGCUUAUCUGGUUGUGGUUUCAGGAACUAGGGAUGGUUCUGGUCAAGCCAAGGAGCCGUGAAGGCUCGGUCAGUGAGAGGCUGUGUAACGUGUGGUUAGAUGAUGCUAGGGAUGAACUAGUGAUUGUCUAUGAAACUGUUAAGAAGUUGUAUAUUUGAUCUCAUGUUUCUAAGUAAUACAGAGUUAACACACUAUUAUUCCGCUGUGCAAUCUGUUCAAGCUGAAGUCUAGGGGCCACACGGCUUUUAGUGGAUCCGGAAGCGACCGGAAGAGAAAGAGGGACACGGCCGAAGGGGGCAAGGCCUCAAGUGAUAGGUCAGAGUGUCCUUCAUGCGGAAGGCAUCACGGAGAAGAGUGCUGGAAGGCAAAGGGAGCAUGCACCCAAUGUGGCAAGAUGGGCCACUUUGAUCGGGACUGUCCUGGACGGUCAGAGAACCGUGGGUAGGGUUUGGGAAGUGACCCUAGAAGCUGUCAUUACUGCGGUAAGACGGGACAUUUACGCUGGGAAUGUCCCAAGAUGCAAGCUGAGGCUAAAGGACGUGGGAAGGCCAGCAAGCCAAGCCAAAACCAAGGUCAGACCUCAGCACCCCGUGUGUACGAACUGUCCAAGGACGCAGCCAAGGCUGGACCGUUCCUAGCGAUCACUGGUAACAUUCUAGAUUUAUUCUUUUUCAAUUCAGUAGAAUGGCAUGGUACAGAACUUAGAAUGGAUUAGACGAUUAGAAAAGGGGGGUCUUAUGUAGGGACCCUAUGUAUUGGUGGUGUGGAAACACACGUACUGUUUGAUACUGGAGCUACACACAGAUUUGUGAGCCCAAACAUGAUCGGAAAAGGGUUGUUCCAGAUGGGAACGGAGGAUGAUCCUUGCAUAGUGAAUGCGGCCGGUGGGCAAGUAAUGCAUUCAUUAAGGCGAGUAAAGGACAUCCCAAUUGUGAUCCAGGAUAGAGUUAUGCCUAUGGAUCUGGUUGUGCUCCGCCUCAAGAAUCACGAGGUGAUAUUAGGCAUGGACUGGCUUGGAAAGAACCGGGCCACUCUGGACUGUCACAGAGGAAGGGUGCAGUUUGAGAGUGGGUGUGGACCCCUGAUCAGGUUCCAAGGUAUUUGUCCGACCUCUGGAUGCUUAGUGAUAUCAGCAGUCCAAGUGGAACGGAUGCUUGAGGGUUCUGAGGCCUUUUUGGUCACGAUCGCCACUAAGGAGGUUGUAGGGGCUGGCGACCCGGACGGGAUUCCGCUGGUUAAAGAGUUUGAGGAUGUGUUUCGGGCACUACAGGGCAUCCCCCCUGAUAGGGCUGACCCGUUCAUAAUAGAACUAGAACCAGGGACGGCCCCAAUGUCCAAAAGUCUAUACCGUAUGGCUCCGGCCGAGAUGGCCGAGCUAAAGAAGCAGCUGGAAGAGUUGCUGGACAAAGGAUGGUAGCUUUAGGCUGUGUAUUGAUUACCGAGGGUUGAAUAGGGUUACUGUGAAGAACAAGUACUCAUUACCCAGAAUAGAUGAGCUGUUGGAUCAGCUCAAGGGGGCCAAAUGGUUUUCCAAGAUUUAUUUUGCCUCAGGGUAUCAUCAGAUCCCAAUUGAGCCUAAUGAUAUCAGGAAGAUGGCGUUCCGGACCAGGUAUGGCCACUAUGAGUUUGUGGUCAUUCCAUUUGGUCUAACCAAUGCACCAGCUGCAUUCAUGAAUGGUAUCUUCCGAGAUUUCUUGGAUGAAUUUGUAAUCAUCUUCAUAGAUGACAUACUUGUAUAUUCCGGAACCAAGGAAGACAAUGAGAAGCAUCUCAGGGCCGUACUAGGACUGUUGAGGGAACAGAAACUCUUUGCCAAACUAAGCAAGUGUAGUUUCUGGCAGAGGAGCAUUGGGUUCCCCGGACACAUUGUGUCUGAUCAGGGCGUAUCAGUAGAUCCGGAGAAGGUUCAGACUAUACGAGAUUGGCCGCAGCCUAGGAAUGCUACUGAGGUUAGGAGUUUCCUAGGGCUGGCCGGCUACUACAGAAAGUAUGUCAAGGGGUUUGCGAGUUUGGCUCCACCCAUUACAUGGCUUACAGGCAAGGAUGUGAAGUUUGCAUGGAGUAAAGGGUGUGAGAAAUGUUUAUCAGCCUUAAAGGAUAUGCUGACGAAUGCACCAAUAUUGGUACUGCCAGAGGCAGAUCAACCUUAUGUGGUCUAUACGGAUGCGUCCAUCACUGGGAUGGGGUGCGUCCUAACUCAACAUGGGAAGGUGAUUGCUUAUGCUUCGAGACAGUUAAGAAAGCACGAAGGGAAUUAUCCGACCCAUGAUCUAGAGAUGGCGGCCGUGGUGUUUGCUUUGAAGAUAUGGAAAUCGUAUCUGUACAGAGCCAAAGUCCAGAUCCUUACGGAUCAUAAGAGCUUGAAGUACAUUUUCACUCAGCCUGAGUUGAAUUUGAGGCAAAGAAGAUGGAUGGAGUUUGUUGCUGAUUAUGAUCUGGACAUAGAAUACCAUCCAGGCAAAGCUUACCUGGUGGUUGAUGACUUAAGCCGGAGAGGAGCAGAGGUCUCGGCCGAGAGAGAGGCGGAUGAAUUGGAGGGAAUGGUUCGGUCACUGCGGUUAAACACCUUGGUUGGACGUGAUAAGCCAUUGGGAUUAGAAGCGGUCGAUCAGGCCGAUCUACUUACCAGGAUACAGCAGGCCCAGAGUCUGGAUGAGAACCUGCAGAAAGUGGCUCUUAAUGACAAGACAGAAUAUCAGGUCACAAGCAACGGGACAAUCUUGGUAAAUGGCCGAGUAAGUGUUCCCAACAACAAAGAGCUUAAAGAGGAGAUUAUGAGUCAGGCUCAUAAGUCAAAGUUCUCAGUCCACCCGGGCUGAACAAGAUGUACAGGGAUUUAAAGAGAUACUACCAUUGGGUAAGGAUGAAAACGGAUGUGGCCGAGUGGGUGGCGAGGUGUCCUACUUUCCAGCUUGUAAAGGCUGAACAUCAAGUGCCCAGUGGAAUGCUUCAAAACCUCCCUAUACUAGAGUGGAAGUGGGAUCACAUCACAAUGGAUUUUGUGACCGGUUUUCCCACGACCAGGAACAUGAAGGAUGCGGUUUGGGUGGUGGUGGAUAGACUAACCAAGUCGGCCCACUUCUUACCAAUACGGAAAGGAGACGGGGUGGAUCAAAUCAUGAGGAUUUACUUGGACGAGAUAGUACGUCUGCAUGGAGUGCCGGCUAGUAUUGUCUCGGACAGAGACCCUAGGUUCACCUCUUACUUCUGGCAGGCUUUUCAAAAAGCCUUAGGAACAAGAGUGAACAUGAGCACAGCCUACCAUCCUCAGACGGAUGGGCAGUCAGAGAGGACAAUCCAGACAUUGGAGAACAUGUUAAGGGCCGUGGUGUUGGAUUGGGGCGAUUCAUGGGAAAAGCGUCUACCCUUGGUCGAGUUUGCCUACAACAACAGUUUCCAUACUAGCAUUGGUAUGUCACCUUAUGAAGCACUGUAUGGGCGGCCUUGCAGGACACCAUUAUGCUGGACCCAGGUGGGGGAGAGGAUCAUGUUGGGUCCUGAGAUUGUGGAAGAAACCACUGAGAAGAUAAGGUUCUUAAAGGAGAAAAUGAAAGAGGCACAGGAUCGUCAAAAGAGUUAUGCAGAUAGACGGAGGAAACAUCUUGAGUUUGAAGUUGAAGACUUGGUCUAUCUCAAGAUGAUCACGUUCAAAGGGAGGGCUAGAGUUUCUGGCAGAAGAAAACUAGACCCUAGGUACUUGGGUCCGUUCAGAAUCAUAGAAAGAGUUGGGGCUGUGGCUUAUAAGUUGGAUCUGCCACCAGCCAUGGAUGCGUUCCACAACGUGUUUCAUGUGUCCCAACUCCGAAAAUGUUUGUCUGAUCAGGACAUAGUACUACCCGAGAUCCCUACUGAUUUGGGUAAGAACCUGACUCUAGAGACAAGGCCAGUCCGCAUAGUGGAUCGAACAGAAAAGACAACAAGGAAGAAGACCAUUCCAAUGAUCAAGGUCGUGUGGAAAUAUAAUGGCAAGGAUGUUAUCACUUGGGAAACAGAGGCAAGGAUGAAGGCCGAGUAUCCUGAGUGGUAUGAUCAGGUAGUCCGCGAGGAAACACAUGAUCAGGAUUCGAGGACGAAUCCAUCCCAAGUGGGGGAGACUUUUCAUGUCCCUGAUCUGAGAUAGGGUCGUUGGGACGAGCCAUGGUGCGGGGAGACACACCAGUCAGGUCAUUAGACCAGUAGACAAGCGUAUCAUGGCUCAGACAUAGGGUUAAGGGCAUCAAAGUGUUGAGACUUAACCAGGGUGAAGAAAGAAUGGGUUUAAUGGAGCUGGACGAGUGAUGUGGGAGCUGGAAGGGACAGCGGCCGAGCUUGGGCAGCUCAGGGAAGCUCAAUGGGAGCUCAGUCAGUAUGCAUCAGCUGGUGGAGCUGGAAGGACUAGCUCACUCAGCUGGGACCAGCUAGCAAUCAGCUGAACUCAGCUGGCCGAGUGUUCGUGUCCAGGACGGUUGAGGCGGUUACAAGGGCGGUUAUGGUGGUUCGGUUAGAUGGUGAGGCCACGGCAUGAACGGUCAGUUAAAGGGCUUGGCCUUGGCAUCAGGAUAGAGAAUCGACAGGGACAGGAGCAGUUGGAGGCAGUUGAGGACCGGUUAGGGGAAGUUAUUGCCAAACGGUUGCAAGGGAGAGAGAGACACCUUUUCGGUUACAACUCCCACCCCUUCGGCCCCAUGGCAGUUCCAACUCCCUCUCUCUAUAAAUACAGAGCCCUGGAUCCAGAUUUAGACACAAAAUUCUUGAGGGGGACCUCUGCCAAAAUCGUGAGAGACAAACCCAAAAGGAAAAGAGAGAACCGGCGAGAGGCUUGGCUGUUCCAGGAGAGACCGGAUCAUGGGAAGCAAGGCCUGAAAAGAUAGAUACCAGACAGAAAGACAGAGAGAAGGACAAGGAGAAGGAGAUGGCGCCUAGGGAGAGAACGCCUAAGGUCAGUGGUGUGGACGGCAAGCAAUCGGCCCUAGCCGGCUGAUGAUCCGAUCGGGCUUGUGGCCGGUUUGCUAUGCGCCUACAUCUACUUUCUCUAUCUCUUUAGAAUUUGCUUGUUCUAUCAGAUUAUUGUGUUGGUUGUUCUGAUUCAUACAGGGAACACUGAACCAAGGCCUUGGCCGGUUCAGCAUCCAAGUCCUAGGCCUUUGGCUGGACUGUUCUUGGUCGGAUUUGGAUAUUCUAGUGUGUUGAGUGGAAAUCUGUUUAUGGGAAUCUCUUAGUUAGGAUUUAUCAGAGAUUAUCAGGAAUUUUAAUUAGUUUUUGGGAAUUUAUUUGAGUAGGUUGGUUUUGGACAGGUUAUAGAUUCUAAGUAACCGAACCAUGCUUAUCUAGACUUGAUGUUAGGAUAUCGGCCUUAUGAGUGUGUUAUGUGUCUUGUGUGGUUUCAGGAUCAGACAUGGCCGUGGUAAGGGAAAAGCACCGUGAAGACUCAGGCCAUGGGAAGAUGUGUGGUGAAUGGGUUAUUGUAGAUAGAUGUGAAGUACUGAUAGCCUAUUGUGCAACUUGUGAACAUAUGUUAGAUUAAGUGUGUAUGACUUAUUAGGACGAACCUAAGGAUGAUGUAUGGAUCUCAGUUUAUAUUUAUACAAUUGGUUUGCCCCUUAUGUUCUUGGUAGACUGAUUGUCUUAAACCUCACUUGAAUUGAAUUGAACUUAGAAAGAUAAGACUUAGAAAUCGGAUUACUCGGACAUAGACUGAAUGGUUAAGGCCGCAGAUCAGUUUGGGCUUAAGAGCCGGGAUGUGUCUUAAAAAAAACCCAAGUGCCAGGCUUUGCUACUUUCCACGUCUGGAGAAGUAGAAUAUUAUGUGGUGCUCACGGACUUUUGCAUUUGCUCAAUGGUAAUUAUACCUCGUGUCCCCUGUAUUAUUCUAGCACGUAGCGUUUUAAUAUAGGUACUUUAACAUUUUUGGUAUUUUUGUUUGGGACCCCGAUAUACUCGGGCUUGCACGGACCCAUUCCUACCUUAUGUCUCAUACCCGUUUUGUUUUUUCUUGGCCGUACCACUUUGUCAUUAAGGGUUGGCCAGGAUCGAAGGUCUUUUGGACCGGAUCCAGCUUGUUUGCCCCUUUAAGUAUUAUGGCAUUCCUACUACUCUUUUAUAGUCGGAACUAUUUUAUUAUAUAAGCUUUAUCCAGAGACGUUUCAGCGUACAUAGGAGUAGGAAAACAUAAUGCUUAAAUAAUAGAUAAAAUAAUUAAUAGAGAUCAUGGUCCGGAGACUGUACAAGGUAUCAGCUUGCGAGGUACCCCGGUGGUUAGGCCAUGUUUUACUCGGCGGUAGAUGUCGCGAUGUCCGCCUUGACCGUGUCGAUCGUGGCUGGGUCAACGCUAUUUUCCGGAUGUUCCGGUUGAGUUGUAGCGUGGGCUUCGGACUUGUGUCGAGCUUCGACGUCCGAUGCGUUUGCGUCGGUAGACGAUUUUAAUUCGUCUUUUCCCGGGGCGCUUUUGGCCGAAGAUCCGUCUAUCUUCGUGCGCUUGCCGUUUACAGCUGCAGAAGUCGUGAUUUGCCUUAACUUGUGUUCUGCGAGGAAGCAUAGCCGCGACUGUUUUUGGCAUCCCCAGAUGGCCGCGACUCCGCUUGGCGUUGGGAAUUUGAGACCCAGGUGGUAGGUUGACGAAACUGCCUGCAUGGCGUUGAGCCAUGGGGUUCCCAUGAUCACGUUGUAGAUAGGGGAUGAUCGACUACCGCGAACUCGACGAUUUUUGUGAUCUCCUUGGCCAUGACUGGCAAUUGGAUCGAUCCAAGAGUCAUCGAUACUUCGCCUGAAAAACCCGUGAGUGUUUUUGGCGUCGGAAUUACUUUCCCAAGUUCGAUGCUCAUCCGCUUGAGAGUGUCGCGGAAGAUUACGUUGACCGUGCUUCCCGUGUCGACGAGUACCCUUCCGACUUCUAAAUCUCGUAUGACGAGAUCUAUGACGAGCGGGUCACAGUGAGGUUGGUCGAUAUCGCCGGCUUCUUCCUUUGUGAAGGUGAUCGAGCAAUUUUGGCCAUCUCGUGGAGGAGACCAUGUAGGCCAAUUUGCACUCGACUCUGCCUUCCGUUGGUAAGCCUUGAUGGCCGACACGGUAUCGCCGCAGUAUUGUGAUCCUCCAAUGAUCAUAUUGACUCUGCGACGAUUGUUAUCGUUCCCCUUGUCGUCCGGCCUCCUACCGCGUUUAUCCCCAGGUUGGUUUCGUUGAGGGGAUUUUUCAGCGGGCGGAUUUCUGUCCGUCUUUGGAGGGCGAUCAGAAUCGAGGAUGAGAUCCUUGACGCUAGUUACUUGCGAGAGCUCUCCAGCGAGUAGCUUCGCGGCCAGUCUUGCUCCCAAGACUUUGUAGUUGGUCGUGGAGUGUCCUCGGGAUUGGUGGAACUCGCAGAAGGUGUUUUCGUCAUACCCUUGAUUGCGAGUCCAUGUGUUGCCCGUGGUCCGGCCUUGAUCCGAAUUGAUCGCAUAGUUAUGCGCCCCUUGGAGAUCUUCCCCCUCGUGAUGGACGUACUUGUCGUUACGAGAGUUCUUCUUUUUCCCUUUCGGAUCCACGUCUUUUGAGGAUGGUCUUGCCGUCUUAUGUUUUUGCGAUAAGACUUUAGUUUCUUCCUCGACUAUGAUGUAGUCCGUCGCUUUGUGGAGGGCGUCCUGGAUCGUUCGCGGUUUGUCGAGAGUUAUCCACUUUCUGAAUUUCGACUUGUACCAGAGCGUCUUUCUCAGCGCGUCGAUGGCCACUUUGUCGCUUAUCCCGCUGACCCUGGACAUUAUCAGCUUGAACCGACUGAUAAACGCGCGGAGGGGUUCGUCUUCCCUCUGGGAGAGACUCCAGAGGUCAACAUCGGAAGUUUCUCUGUCUAUGAAUACAGAGUACUGUUUGAGAAAUUCUGAUGCGAGCUGUCGAAAACUCCCGAUGGUGUUGCGACGAAGGCGUGCGAACCAUUCGAGCUGCUCCUUCAAGAUUUUCGACGAACAGGCGGCAAUAGCCGGCAUCUUUUUCGCCGUCCUUCAGUCUUGCUCUUCCCAUCGCGAUGUGGAAAGCCUGAAGGUGCGCUUUUGGAUCGACCGUACCAUCGUACUUUGGUACUUUAAUUUUUCCCGGGUCGGACACCCUCAUGUCCGAAAUGCGACUGGUAAAGGCGGUCUUUUGAGCUCCUUCCAGCAGUCGAUCGAUCUCGGGGGAAGCACUAGUAGCAUGAUGGAUUUGAGACUUUACGGCCCUCACUUCUGCCGCAGUCUUGGUGAUGUAGUCGCGAAGAUCGCGGAUAUCCGAUGUCUCGUCAGUAGAUUUCCGAGCCUGUCGGCGUUUACUACGAGUGAGCUCGGUUUGCCUUUCAGCCAGCUCCUCCUGUUCGUUCCAAUAGGCGAUUUCUUCCUCUUCCGUCAUUGGUUUUUCGAACGGGGAGCCUUCCCGAGCGGAUCGGCUUCUGGUCCUUCUUGGAUGUCUAUCGAUGUCCUCGUCGGUGUCGUUGGAGACAUCGCUAGGAUCCAGGUCAAUGUGUUCGGCUUCGUUAUCCUCCGAGUCCUUUGCAGGGGGCGGAAGACUUUCAGGUUUCCCCUUUUUGAUGGGAGAUUUCUCGCUAGGGUUUUGACCGGAAGGUCGUUCCCGCGCGACUCCUGAUCUGUCGAGUGGGGUAGCGAAGUCGAGCCUCUUCCCGCGGAUUUUGGUGGUUCCGCGGGGACGGAUCGCUUGGGUCCUUGCCGUUAAGGUUUCAACCUGUUUGGUCAAGGUAUUCACGAGGUUAUCCUGUUCUUCCGAUCUUUUCUCAUAGGUGGCGAACAUCUUUUUAAACUUCUCGAGCCUCGCGGCGUUGGCUUGUGCAUUGGCCGCGGAUACGUCCGCUACUGGAGUGUGGAGAUCGGUGCCGCUGCCUCCGUUAAGAGGAGUUUGCACGUUAUCCGCGUCGUUAGUUGACAUGUCUGAUUCAGAGUGAUGUGGCUUUUGCGGGUUAGAUUGAUCCGUGUCCCCCCUCCUUCUAGCGCCAAACUGUGGGAACCGAAAUUCGCACUGUCGAUUUCCGUUUAAAUAAGGAAACUAGGAAAACCCCUAAUUUCCCAGAGGACCCGGAUAUCUGCUAAUUACCACACGUCAAGCAAUCAGAACACGAGAAUAACAACGAUAAAGUAAAAAAAAUCGAAAAAGAGAGCAAAGAAGAUCUUAUUCCGAAUUUGCGUAUGAGCGUUUACAACAAGGUAUAAGCCUGGGCUCGAGAGCUGUCGGCGAGAUUUCUAGUUCUAGUAACCCUAAGACCGCUAAACCUAAUUGAGUCGCAGCUCGAUAUAACAAAAACGGAAAAUUGCCUAAAUUGCUCUAAGUGCUAAGUUUGCUCUGAAAAAAGUUCCCUCUAUGCUCCUCGCCUAGGACUCCUUAUAUACUAGCUCCAAGGUCGGUUUACGCUUUUACUCUUUUGCCCUUAAGCCGUCAUAGCAUAAAAAUGGAGAUAUUCCAUUUUUCCCGAUCUUCACAAUUAUCUUCAAAACAUCCGUAUUUAUCCGCGGAAACUUGAUAUUUAUCCUUCCUUGUGGGCCAAGCGUAAACCAUGCUGUGGUUUACGGGCUUUUGGUUAGGAAAAUCGUAGGAUGGGCCUCGAGUCGUGUUUUAGGUACCUUUGGGCCGUCUUCCGACUCGACACGUUUACUACGAAUUUUCCGCGGUUUCUAAUCCUUGAAGUUUGAUCGAUGAGUUAGAAUAGCGGAAAACAUGGACUGAGCUUGCUACAGUCUUCGGGAGAUAGCAUUCGAAGAUUUGACGAGAAUGCAUGGAUUGAUGUCUGUCGUUGUUCGGAAGAGUUCAAUCGCUACACAGCGACCAAACUUCGGCUCGAGCCCGGUCGCUACAUAGCGACCGAGCGGGACGAGCGCUUGGUCGCUACGUAGCGACCGAGCUUUGGCUUGAGCUCGGUCGCUACGUAGCGACCGAGCGGGACGAUCGCUCGGUCGCUACGUAGCGACCGAGCUUUGACUCGAGCUCAGUCGCUACGUAGCGACCGAGCGGGGCGAACGCUCGGUCACUACGUAGCGACCGAGCUUUGGCUCGAGCUCGGUCGCUACGUAGCGACCGAGCUUUGGCUCGAUCUCGGUCGCUACGUAGCGACCCAGCGGGACGAGCGCUCGAUCGCUACGUAGCGACCGAGCUUGGGCUCGAGCUCGGCUCGGUCGCUACGUAGCGACCGAGCUUGGCUCGAGCUUGGUUUGUUUGGUUUGAAUCUCCAAGGAUACUUCUUCGUAAAAACUUCGUAUUGGUUAUUUUUUACGAAAAUUACAUCUUUCCUUUUACUAUCUCUUUCGGAAAUACGAUCUCCGAGGAUUUUCGGGUGGUAAUUCCGUCGUAACCGUUUUUGACCCCAACACUAAUGAUUAUAAGAAUUCAUCAUUUAGUUUGCUUUAAUAACAAUAAUUUUUAAAAAAUCUAGUAGAUCACAACAUGUUCGAUUUAUUACAGUAUAGCUUAUUUUUUUAGUUUCUAUGAAUAUUUUGACUGUAACUGACUAAAAGAAUAUUUGUAAAAACAUAAAAUAAUAGUUUUGACUAAUAUUUAAAAUUUUAAUGGAGAAAUAAAUUCGUUAGUGUUUUGUUGAUUAAAAAUAAUUUGGAACUCAUAAAUUAACUGUGGCUUGCGAAUCUCUCUAUGUUCUCUUAGUUAACAUCUUUCAGAGAGAGCGAAUGAAAAUUUCAAAUCGUCUUUUACAUUGCAAUUAUUCUCUACUCUAUCCGAUUUUUUGGUGUGAUACAUUUUUCGCCUAUUGGAUCUUGUCUUCGGCUUUGUAUGUCUACUUUACGUUGUGGAUGUUUUACAUUUUUAUUUGUACUAUGUCUCGUUCACUGUUAUUGUUCAUUCACUUCAAAUCCUAUAUUUUUUAUGCGUUCCUUGUUCAUGAAGAUUAUGUUUGGUUCUUCGAUUUGGAUAUUAUUAAAGAAAACACAUUUGAUACUGAUUUAUAAUUAUUUUUAAAAACACUUUUUGAAAUUUUAUUUUGAAGAGUAUAUUUUAUUUUGUGUUCUUGGAAGAAAAAAUAUUGUAUCUUCAUAUUUUAUAUUAAUUUUGGUUAAUUUGUUUGUCAAAUUUCCAGAUAUUUUAUAUAUAUAUAUAUAUGAAUCAAUUUAAUUUUAAUGAUUUAUUAAAUAAUUUACCUUUUUUGAGAACUCCUGGAAUUUCAUUAAAAGGGAUGUAGUUGAGUUGGUGAAUAAUGUUUUGGUCACGGGAGAUAUGGACCCACGGUUAAACAUAACUAAUAUUUGUAUGAUCCCAAAAGUAGAGAGACCUACAAGGAUGAUGGAGUUAUGGCCGAUAAGUCUUUGUAACGUUGGCUAUAAGAUUAUCUCGAAAGUUUUGUGUCAAAGAUUGAAAAUUUGUCUCCCCCGUUUAAUUUCGGAAACACAAUCGGCUUUUAUAGCAGGAAGGUUAAUCUCAGGUAAUAUUUUUAUUGCACAGGAAAUAUUUCAUGGUUUGCGAACCAACAAGUCUUGUCAAAAUAAGUUUAUCACAAAAUGGGAUUUGAUACUCAUUGGAUUAAAUUAAAGCGAGAGUGUAUAUCUUCAGUUCAAUAUAGGGUACUCCUUAAUGGGCAGCCACGAGGCCUUAUAAUACCAAAGCGGGGACCACGUCAAGGAGAUCCAUUAUCUCGGUCUACACAAGUAUGGAUUAUCUAUUUUGGAGGUUGCCGGAAGAGGAUGAGUUUAGCUAUUUUCCAUGGAUAUUAUAGUAUAUAUAGAAGUCCAGGAAUGAUAAAGUCUAUUUGAAUAAGAAUGGGAACCCGCAGGAGAUCCUUCGUUUAGCUGAAGUGAAAAGUAAGAUAUGGAUGGGGGCACAAGUAACAGUGAAGAACCAAUAUGACCAUCAUGGGAGUGUAUACCAGGAUACUGAAUGGACUUCUUUAGAUAAUACCAGGAUUUGUUAUAUAGAUGGAGCUUGGAAAAAAGAAGAUCAAUUCACGGGUCAAGGAUGGUUCUGUCGAAGUAAUGGCUCGGCAGAUGUUAUGAUGGGGGCGAUGAAUCUCCGUAAAAGUCUCUCUCCUCUGUAUGCUGAGUGUGAAGCUUUGAUAUGGGCAAUGGAUUGCAUGAAGACCCUUCAGUUCUCUGAUGUAGUGUUUGCGACGGAUUGUUUUCAGUUGGUGAAGAUGGUGUCGACACCGGAGGACUGGCCAGCUUUCUCUACACACAUGGAAGAAACAUGGAAGAAUUUAGAAGCAGUAAGUGUUUCUUCCCUGAUUUCUGGAUCAGACAUAUUCCAAGAGCACAAAACACCUUGGCGGACAGACUUGCACGUGGUGCGAGAAGUUCUUCUACAGCUAUGUUUUAUGUCGAUUCAACACCACCGGCUUGGCUCUCCGAACCGGCUGGCGCAGUUACUUAGUUUAGCAGUUGUGGUAAAAAAAAGACAUACUUUAAGACAUAAUUUUAUAAUUCUGACUUUAAUUAAUGAACAGUUAGCAUAUAUAUCAAGUAAGCAUUUUAUAUUUUAUUUUUAUUUUGUUUCUUUUUUUAUAGAAAAUUUAAGAUUUAUAAGAAUAUUAACUUAAGAUGCUGACUUUAAAUAUUUUUAUUGGUAUUUUCAGUUAUUUCAGAUUUUUAAAGCAUAUAGUCCAUAUCGUAUUAAAGGUUACAUACAUAAUUAGAUUUUUUUUUGUCAAUCUCUUAUUAUAUUAAGUUUUUAAUAAUUAGCUAUAAAUAUCAAUCUAACUUUAAAGAUAAUUUUUACAAAUUUUAAUUUAUAUUUUUAUAAUUUUGUGCUGAUUUUUAUUUAUUUUUACAUACGUGAUUAUUGAUAAAUAUUUUUUUUAAACUAUUUCUUUUUGAAUAUUUUUAUUUUUGUUAACUUUUUUGUUUAAUUUCAAAUAUAUACUUAUUUUCUAUAUCAAGUUAAUUAUUUUAAUAAAAUAAUAUUUUUAUUUACUUUAUCAAAUUAAGAUGCUGACUUUUAUAUUAUUAUAAUGAUAAUUUUAAAUUCUCUGAGAACACUUAAAUAAUAUAUAUCCUCAAUUUUUAAAUCAUAUGUUAUUUAGAUUCAUAUGUAAUGAAAAAAGUGAUUUAGAUUUACAUUAUUUUAAUAUUGUAAUUUUAAAUUAUUUGAUAAUUAUUUAUAUUUUAUUUUGACAUAAAAUAUUUCAUAAUAUUAACAUUUUUAGAAAUACCAAAUUAAAAAACGAUUUGGUAUAUUUUUGGUGCUUUAAAAUAAUAUGUGAACAUUCUCAAUGAUUUAUAAUAUCAACUUAUACAUAGUAUAUGUUAUUUUGAAUAUUUUCAAUAUUAUAUAACCUAAAUUUUGAAAAUCAUGAGUUUAAAUUUAGAUUUAUAUAGUUAUACUUGUUUAAUAGUCUUGUAUUUUUAAAUUAAUUAUUCUUUUUGUUAUUUAUUUUUUAAUUUUCGAAAAAUAUUAAACAUUAUGUUAACUUAAUAUAGUAUUUAUAUUUUUGUAAAUUUACAUUAUUUGAUAUUGAUUUAUAUUUUAGUUUUAAAUAAUAUUUUUUGUAAUAUUAACAUUUUUAAAACUAGUAAACUUAAAUAAUGAUUUGUCAUACUACGAUUGGUCGUUUAAAUCCUAUGUAGACGCCCUCGAUGGCUUAUAGCUUCAACUUUUAUAUAAUGAUAUUUUUAAAUUUUAUGUGAACAGUUAAAUAAUAUAUAUUCUCAAUUUUGAAAUCAUAUGUUAUUUAGAUUCAUAUGUAAUGAAGAUUUAGAUUUACAUUGUCUUUAUUAUUUUAAAUCCUUAUAUUUUUAAGAUUAUUUUUGUUACUUAGUUGUAUGUUGAUCUUCCAAACAUAUAGUAUACAUUUUUGUUGAAUAGUUUCAGCAGUAUAUAACCUAAAUCAUGUGUUUUAGAUUUAUAUAGUGAUAAUUGUUUGAAAAUAUUGCAUUUUUAAAUUAACUAUUAUAUUUAUUUUUUUAUUUUUAUAUUAAUUUUCAAAACUUUAUUUUAUAUAGUAUAGAUUUGUGCAUGAUGUUUUUAAUUUUGUAAGUUUUACUUAUUUGAUAAUUACUAGGGAUUAAUCCGCGCUACACACAGAAUUAUAUUAAUUUUCUAAUGUUAAUUAUCUAACUAUUCUUAUUGUUUUAUAGCAAAUGGUAAUACUAAAAUAUAUUUUUAAUAUAUUAUUUACUUAUUAUUUAUUUUAUUUAAUAUUUUCAGAUAGAUACUUAAUAGGGAUUUUUGCCAAAACUAACCCACAACUUGAUUUUAACCCCAAACUUAUACCCAAACUUGAAUCAAAUGCAAAACUAACCUAAAAGCCUAGUGAAAUUACAGCUCAGCCCCUUGUGACCAAACAAAAAAACAGAAGCCAUUUUUACGAAUAUAGCCCCAGUAAAUCGUCUGAGUCGUCUGAGAUGUUGGAAGUCGUAUGGACGACUGAAGUGUAAGUCGUAUGGUACCAGUUUAUUUUAAAAAUAAUUUAUAAAUCUUGUAAAAAAAUAUUUUGAUGCGUGAAAAAUAAAAAUCAAGUAAUUAUAAACAGUUUUAAGUGAUAUAAAUUAAGAUAUGAUAAAAUUGAUUUGUUUUGAAGAUAGAUGAGUGGAAGUAGUGAAUCAUGAAAUACUAUGGUUUAGGAGUUUGGAAAACAUAUGUUGUAGUAUUAUAUGUAUUGUUUAGAUUUUGGAAAACUAAAAUGUUUUUUUUUUAAAUUAGUUUUCACCUAUAUGUGUUUAUUUUUGUGUAUAGUAAACACUUUUCAAGUUUGAUUUGAUUUUAUGAAGUGUUUAAUUAGAUAAUUAAGUUUAGGGGUUAUGUUUAGGGUGUGGAUGACUUAUAUUUCAGUCGUCUGUUGAAUAAUUUACUCGGACGACGUAUAUUUCAGUCGUCCACAUCGUACCGAACCUUUAAUUUUACCAAUGUACGUUUUAACCUAAUCGGAUCAUUUACCGGACAUAUAAAAGCUAGUUUAGAGGUUAUGUUUAGGGUCUAGACGACUUACAUUUCAGUUGUCUGGUGAAGAAAUUAAAACAGACGACUUACAUGUAAGUCUUCCAAAUAUUCCCGCCUAAAAUUUUUAAAAAAAAUUAUUUUCCCGCUUAAAUAAUUUAAACCAGACGACUUACUUGUAAGUCGUCUGGAAAGUCUUCUAUUUUAGUUUCCCGCUAAAAAUAUUUAAUUUCCCGCUAAAAAUAUUAAACUCUUCUGGACGACUUACAUGUAAGUCGUCUGUUUUAAUUUAUUCACCAGACGACUGAAAUUUAAGUCUUCCAGGAAGUCGUCUGAGUCAAAAAUAUUUAACCUAAUUGGAUUUUUUGUCUCCCUAUAUAAAGAAAAAUUUACACAUUCUCUCUCCUCCUCUCAAAUGGCUGCAACAAAAAUGUAAUGUUCAUCAUUCUAAAACUCUCCAACCUCUCUCUAAUCUCUUUAACUUGAAAACACCAAACUUUAUAUGAAUUUUUCGGUUUUGUCUCAUGUAUUUCUUGCUAAUCUAUCUCUUUUGCAGGUUUUUAAUCAAAUGGUACUCAUCUUCCACUAAUUUAAAGGUAGAUCUAUUAAUUUUAGAUAUGUAUUUUUGUGUGUUCUAAAAAUGUAGAUUUAUCUAAUCUUCCACUCAUUUUCUCUAUUUUUAAGUCAUUUGAACGUUUUUGGAUAUACAGGUUUUUCAGAUCUGGAUUUGAUAUGCAGGUUUUUCAGAUCUGGAAGACUUCUGGGACGACUUACCUGUUAGUCGUCUGGAAGUCGUCUGGAAGUCGUCUGGACUUCUUGGAAGUCUUCUGACAAAGUCGUCUCGACUUCCAGGAAGUCGUCUGGACUUCCAGGAAGUCGUCUGGACUUCAUGGAAGUCUUCUGACGAAGUCUCCCUUUCAUAAUAGAUCUGAGCGUUUUGGUAAGUUCUUAUGUCUGAUUUUUCUUCAUUUGGUAACUUCUUGUUGUAUAAAGUUCUUACCUUUUUUCUAAACUAAAACUCUCCAAACCCACUCUAAUCUCUUUGACUUGAAAACACCAAACUUUAUAUGAAUUUUUCAGUUUUGUCUCAUGUCUUUCUUACUAAUCUAUCUUUUUUACAGGUUUUUAAUUAGAUGGUACUCAUCUUCCACUAAUUUAAAGGUAUAUCUAUUAUUUUUAGAUAUGUAUUUUUGUGUGUUCUGUAAAGGUAGAUUUAUCUAAUCUUCCACUCAUUUUUUUCUGUUUUUAAGCCAUUUGAACGUUUUUGGAUAUGCAGGUUUUUCAGAUCUGGAUUUAAUAUGCAGGUUUUUUAGAUCUGGAAGACUUCUGGGACGACUUACCUGUUAGUCGUCUGGAAGUCGUCUGGACUUCUUGGAAGUCUUCUGACAAAGUCGUCUGGACUUCCUGGAAGUCGUCUGGACUUCCUAAAAGUCGUCUGGACUUCCUGUAAAGUCGUCUGGAAGUCGUCUAAACUUCCUAAAAGUCUUCUGACAAAGUCGUCUGAACUUCCUGGAAGUCGUCUGGACUUCUUAAAAGUCGUAUGGACUUCCUGGAAGUCUUCUGACAAAGUUUUCUUCCAUAUCAAGUGGAAUCCAAGCUUGUCUUUGUAGAGGAAUGAUCUAUAAUAGUUUUGUUUGUGGUCUGUUUUGUGAAUUGCAUGUCUACUCUUUUAGUUGUGAAUUUUUUGUAAAAUCAGUAAUAAUGUUUUCCAAGAUGUAUUAAAUGUGCUAACAAUGUGUUUACACAUUUACAAAUCAAUGAAAUAAUAGACUUCAGUAGCCUUUUUCUUAUCUUUGGAUUUCUCAUUAGCAAUAAUAAACUUCAAUGGCCUUUUUCUCAUCUUAAUAAACAAGAAUGUUGGUAGCUUCAUAUUGAUACAACGUUUUAAGAAGCAUUUAACCCUUCUUCCAACUCAUAACAAUAGUCAUCAUUAUUGUCUAUAACAAUAAUACUUAAGAGAUGAAAACAAACAAUAGUAACUAGUCAAAGCAUAUCAUAUUUUUUAUAAGUUUGCGUUGAAAAACUUAGUCAAAUUUAGUAAAACUAAGGGAGAGAACAUAUUUUGUAAAUAGGAGUUUUACAUAUCUUGAAGUUACUUAUCACUCUUAAAAAUACAAGUUAUUCAAAAACUAACGUAGAAGACUUAAAAACUAGCGGAGAAGACGCGGACGACUUCAAUCUAAGUUGUCCAGACGACUAAACUAUACGUCGUCUGGUCAACGCAGAGGUUAUUUUUGCAAUUGACUUUGAAAUCUGUUAUUUCGGAUGACUGAAAAAUAAGUCGUCUACUAUUAUUUGGUUAAAAAAAACUCCAAAAAAGCUAGACGACUUACAUUUCAGUCGUCAUAGGUUAGUUUUGCAUUUGACUGGAUUAUUUCAGAAGUUUGACUUUUUUGGACGAUUUACAUUUCAGUCGUCUAGUGAAAAUUAAAAUAAUAAUAUUUUUUUAAAAGUAGACGACUUACAGUUAAGUCGUCAUAGGUUAGUUUUGCAAUUGAAAAAAAAACUUCAAGAUUUAAUUAUAUACAGACGAAUUAUAAUUCAGUCGUCCACGAGACGACUGAAAUGUAAGUCGUCCAGGAUUUACGAGGUUUGACCAGAAUCUCGGAAAAAAAUCCUGGACGACUUACAAGUAAGUCGUCUCGUGGACGACUGAAUUAUAAGUCGUCUGUGUAUAAUUAAAUUUUGAAGUUUUUUUUUCAAUUGUAAAACUAACCUAUGACUACUUAAUUGUAAGUCGUUUACUUUUAAAAAAAUAUUAUUAUUUUAAUUUUCGCCAGACGACUGAAAUGUAAGUCGUCUGGGGAAGUCAAACUUCUGAAAUUAUCCAGUCAAAUGCAAAACUAACCUAUGACGACUGAAAUGUAAGUCGUCUAGGUUCUUUGGAAAUAUUUUUGAAACCAAACAAAAACAGACGACUUAACUUUCAGUCGUCUCAGGUUACAGAUUUCAAAGUCAAUUGCAAAAAUAACCUCUGCGUUGACCAGACGACUUCCAGGUAAGUCGUCUACAGCCAGACGACUUCCCAAGUAAGUCGUCUGACGAACAAAUCUGGAAAAAAAACUCGAUGUCAUUCCUUAAAUUGGUGAGAUAAGUUCCUUAGCAUACAUAAGGCUUCUCCAAGCACACAGAAUCACAAACGAAAGUAACCCACCUAGAAUCGUUAGCUUCUAUGACUCUAUGAACCAUAAAAAUUUUAGAAUCAAAAUUUUGGGUUUUUUUAGCUCAUUGUGGAGAGAAAGUGAGAGAUAUGUUGUGUUUAGUUCACAAGAAUGGAAAAAGAAGAAGGGUAAAUCGAUUUUGGGAGCAUUAAGAGCUUUAAAUUGGUUGUUCAUGGUGGUUGUGGUAUUGAUGACAUGGCAAUCUUGUAAUUACUUGAAGAUGAUGAGGGUGAGAGAGUAAAAAUGUCAUUUUCGAAGAAAAAAAAAAUUGAUGGUAUUUUCGUAGAUUAUAUGAACUUGUGGGGUGAAUAGGGCAAAACCAAUUUAAAAAAAAAAAGAGGUUAGUUUUGUGUUUGACUUUAAGUUGUAGGUCAAUUCUGCAAAAAGCCCUACUUAAUAUACCUUUUCUACUUCUUAUAUUAUAUAUUUUUUUAUUACUUAUGUCUUCUAUAUUGUAUAUUUACUUAUACUAAUAUUACGCUAGAUAUUUAAUGUAGUAUUCUUAUUUCUUAUAUUGUACACUUAAUUAUUGUUUAGUUUUUUUGUUAUUAUAUUGUAUAUUUAUUUAUUCUAAUAUUUUCUAUUUUUUAUUUUUAUUACAGAAAAAUAUUGAGAUAAUAUUUUAACGUAAUAUUUCUAUUUCUUCUACUGUAUAUUUACUUAUUAUUUUUUUAUUGCAUAUUUACUUAUUCCAAUAUUACGAUAGAUGUUUAAUGUAAUAUUUAUAUUUUUAUAUCGUAUAUUUACUGAUUAUAUAUUUUAGUAUAAAAUUUUUAGAUUGAUGUUUAAUUUAGUUUUUCUAUUUCGUUUUUGGUAAAUGUUUUUUGCUUUUAUAUUAAAUGAUAAUAUUACGAUAAAUGUUUAAUGUAAUAUUUCUAUUUCUUAUAUUGUAGAUUUACUUAUUAUUUAUUUUUAUAUCAUACAUUUACUUAUAAAAGUAUUUGGAAAUAAUAAAAAAUGUAAAAGUAUACAUUUUUCAGAUAGAUGUUUAAUGUAGUUUUUUCAUUUUAUAUAUUGUAUAUUAACUUAUUAUUUAUUGUUUCUUAUAAAGGGCUUUAUUAUUUAUGGUUUCUUAUAUUGUAUAUUUACUUUAUCUAAUUUUAUUACUUUUAUAUGUAAUGGUAAUAUAAUGAUAAAUGUUUAAUGUAAUAUUUCUAUUUUUAAACUGUAUAUUUAUUUAUUAUUUAUUUUAGUAUACAAUUUUCAGAUAGAUGUUUAAUGUAGUUUUUUAUUUCUUAUAUUGUAUAUUUAUUUAUUUUAAUAUUAUGAAAAAUGUUUAAUGUGAUAUUUCUAUUUCUUAUAUUGUUUUUUAUACAUAGUUUUCAGAUAGAUAUUUAAUUUAGUUUUUCCAUUUUUAUAUUUUAUAUUUAAUUUUUUCCACGUAACGUUUCACUCGUGGUUGUCUUCGUCGCUAGGUGAGUCAGUGGCGAAAGGGUCAGUGAAAGCGAUCCGGGCCAAACUUCCCACCGUCUGUAACGAAUAAAGCCCCCUAUACCUCUGAAUAAAUGAUAAUUAAGUAUUACUACUUAUAUUUUCUGUUAAUAUACAUUAAUUUGGAAAUCAUAACAUUUUAAAUGCUAAUAAUUUUUUAAUUAGCCUAAUUUAUUAGAUACUAUACAUUUUUGGAAAUAUUAACAUUUAAUUUGAUUUUACAUAUUUUUAUUGGUGGUUUUAAAGCCUAUAUGGACGCGUCCUAUGGAUUAUAGCAUUUUUUACUUUUUACUAGUAUAGGCCCGUAGGGCGGGCGGGAUUUGAUAGAUCGGAUUUUAUAAAAUAUAUAAUUUUGUGUCAAUUUUCUUUUAUGUUAAGUUGGGUAUAAGUAUGAUUAUGUUGUAUACACCAAAUUUCAACUAUAUAACUAAAAAUAAUAGAUUUUUUAAUAUUUUUGCUGUUUUAAUCUUAAAUUGUAAGUUUUUAUAGUGUUUUCAGUUUUAUAAUACUAUAAAAUACAUAAAUCAAUCGGAUUCGAUCAAAAGAAAAUGAGAUCGAUUUUUCUAAUAUAUUUUUUUCCGUGAGUGUUUAUAAAUAGUGGAGAAUGAAGUUUUAAUUUAGAGAAACUCUCUAUCAAAGUUAUUAUAGUUGUUUUGGACAAUCUUAGUAAUUACUAUUAUAAACAGUUGUUUGUUUUGGUAUUUACGUUAUAAUGAGGUUUUAAAAGGUUACUUGAAUUCUAGAUGUGGUUUGAUUUCAUAUUAUAAAAUCGGAUAUUCAGUGUUUUCAAUGAUUUAUUUUGUUAGAAAUUUUGUCAUAUACAAAUAAUUUGAUGUUCUAUUUAAAAUUAAAAAUAUAUGUAUUAGUAAAUAAUUAGGAGAUAAUUAUCUCUGCAUGAAACACCUAGUGAUUAUGUCCGCAUGGAUUUUUAAAUCUGAAAAUGAUGCAUGUAAAAACAAUACAUGAAUCUAAAAAUUCUCCAUGUAAAGUUUCCUCACCAGUAUAAUUGUCUUCCGCCAAGUUGUUUCCAGAGGUUAGCUGCUCAGGAUGGAAAAGCUGACGGUAAGUUCUCCUACGGACUUCAUUGAUAACAGUGGGCUCGAGAUCAAUAAAUGGAGCUCUGGGAACAUGUUUUGUGGCACCAGUUUCGUAGACAAAGAUACGAUCACGUGCUCGCUAAACCAAAAAAUGAACCUUUAAAUCCACAGAGAAUAGAAAAAUUAUGUACAAAAGUGAAUCAAACCAAUGGAUUCCAUUGUGCAUUUUUUAUUUUUUUUUAUUUUAGGGCUUAGUUCGCAAAGGGAAAAAGAAAAUUUUGCAGGGGAAAUGUAUUCUCACUGAGUGUAGUUGGUGCAAUGGAAGGCAGAUGUGUCUACCUCAGCGUUCUUUCUACAAAUUAAAGCUAGCUUUCAGCCUCGGUGUACUAUCAAGGUCUUCCAUAUUCCGGGCAUAAGUUCCUAUAAAUCUGAAAAAUGCCAAAAUAAGAUUUUAGCUCAUGAAAAGGCAGAGGUUGAAAGAAAACCAAUAGGUGGGUUCAACGAAUCACAAAAGACCAAAGUACGGGUCAAGUUUUAAACAUCUCAUAGAAAGCUGAGUAAGUAAGAUGUUCAUGAAAACAUAAUUUUCAUGCCUUGUGCGAAAUAUAAGAUACUCAUGAAAAACCUCAAUUCAGAAUCAUAAAUCUCGUAUAGAGAUUCCACUGCACAAAUCAAAUUUAUUGUUUUGUGUUAGACUUUAAGAUUCUUCACAAACGGUUGGUUCUCUAAUUUCUCAGGCACACCUAAAGAAGGAGACUAACCCUCAAUUCGUGAUGAUGUUGUGCAGAGGAGUACAUGCAGUAAACCCAUGACCGAAAAAAUACAAAAUACAUAUCUUGAUGGUCGACGCCGCAUGAGCUUUUGUUGCAGAAAUCAUAUGAAUGAAAAAAAUUUAGACUCUCUUGACAGCUUAAACCGUAAACAAUAGUUGAAGGCACUAAUUAACUUGAAGAGAAACUACUCAACCUAAAACAAAAGUUUUUACUGAAUGUAUCAAUCAUCAAUCUGAAAUAGAACUAAUAAGAUUAAAAUCACCAAACGGAGAUAAUAGAUAGAGGUAAUAGAUAGAGUACACGUCUCUUGGAAUAGUGUCUUCUGCGGUAGAACGUGAACGUUGCCGGUACUGUAAAAAACCAAUCUAGUUAUGAACUCCAGCGAAGGAACAGAACAAACCUCAAGCAGAAACAUGUCGACUCAAUGAGUUCGCCGCCGCGUCAGGCGUUCUUGGCUUCCCAGAAGUGGAGCAACCGGACUUGAAGGGUGGAGGAGCAUCGUCCGGUCAGAUCGGAAAGGAAGAUUGCUGCCUUAGCCAUUUUCUGGAUAUAAUUUCAAUGUCUUGUUUAGAGAAAAUGAGAAUAUGGUUGUGAUAGUAGGAAAGCUUACCCUUUUAUAAUUAAAGUUCCACCGACUCACAUGAAGAGGAUCGCAUUCAAGAAAGAUAGUGGGUGAUGAUUUAAGAAUGACUUUAAAGAUGGGGAUUCUGUAACUGGUAUAGAGCGUUAGCAAGAAGCUGAAUCAUUGAUGGCUAGCCAAAUUGGACAAAUGUAAGGCCCAAAUCAAAUUAAAAACCAUGUAACUGAAAGUUUAAUGAAACGCAACGGAUUUGUGUUUUGGACACGUGUCGAUCGUUGGUAACACUAUUAUCUGACGUGGAUGAAAGAAAAUGAGGGAAUGGUCUUUCUUUAUAUUAAUAGAUUAAUGAUAGGUGUGCACAAUAUUUUUUUUUUCCACGAAAAAGUAAUUUAUUUCAUUCAAAAGAAACACACAAGAGCCCAUAUAGAAAUGGCUACAAGAACCCACACAAGGGUGACUCAAAACAUAAACUCGGAGAUGAAUGAACAAUCUCCAUCCACAAAAGCCCACAUAAAGGCGGCUACUUAAACCCACACCGGGGAAGCUUACAAUACCAAGAAACCAAAACCGACACUAGAUAAGGCUAAGCAACCCGAGCGAAUGAAAAGAUAAUUAGCAGAUUUUAAAUUUUUGUAGAGGCCAAUGAUCGGAAAUUGCAGCUGCUGCUGGCUAUAGCUCGCCACGCGGAAAAUUUCACCUCCUGCACCAUGACUUAUCGCUGCUGCUACACGCACGCAAAACGAUAACGCCCAAGAACUCAAACCCUGCGACUUCAUGACACGACAGGAAGAACCGCUACACGGUCCACAUUGCCUUCAGAUAAUGGUGCGACGCACAUCGCGCCCACUUACUCAUAGAUAGAAGCCCAGAUACAAACUCAACUAAGACGAGGCCUUACCAUACGGACCCUCCAGAACCACAUCCUGAGAACCGAAAAGCGAUCACUGCACCCACCACUCUACGAAUAACCUCUGCUAACCCAACUCUCACCACGCUUUAACACUACCACCACUAACGGAUUCAAAAAACCCACCAACACACUAAGGAAAAUUUUUAAAGACCAAGCUAUGACAGCAAACCAACUGAGAACUAAACAACAACCAACCAACACAAAUACCACAAAGACAAGCCACUAACACAGACAAAAAUAACAACAACAACACCGAAACCUACAACAAAGACAACAAGACCUAGAACUACGACACUCGGGAUUGAAAGACAGCAGCAAAGGGAAUAAGCUAGAACGAUACCGGCGGGAUGAGACUCCGUCGAAAGACACCAAGAGACAGAACUUCUCACGCGCCACCACCUCCUGCACCGGCCCUUCAAACGACGGAUAGAGCUAUAACACACCGAGGCCGGUGAGAGAAACAUCCUCAACAGAUUCACGCGCCGCCUAACGGAGAGGAACACCGGAGAUCUCCAAACGGAAAACGAGAUCUGACAAACCUCAAACCCUAAAAACCGACUCCCUGAACUGACCAACCUUACACGCCUCGCCAGGACUCCAAAGACUGACGAACUCCACAACCGAACGAAACCUCAUGAGCAGAUCGCUGGAGAGGUGAAGUCGGAAGAAACCAGAGCCCCUUGCAUCUUGGACGGAGGAGAGGAACCAGAAGCAGAGAGCAAACAAAGACGAGGACUAAAGGCUAGGAGAGACGCCUCCGACACCGUCUAAUCCGGCACCGGAGAAAGGCGGAGGUUUCUAUUGUUGUUUGCAGAGAGAAUUGCAAUUGGUAUUUAAUGCUCUUCUAUACGUUUUCAAUCUUCAAUGAUAGGUGUGCACAAUAUUGAAUGUUGUGCACAAUAAUAUUGAAUGGUUUUAAAUUUGGGGAAUUAGGCUGUAUAGCAAGGAAAAAAAGCAUAAUUCACCAAACGACCAAUUUCUCUAACUUUUCUAUACACACCGUCAUAUAUAUAUAAUAAUACAGUAUUGUCCCUUCUUGUAACCGGCGUAACCUGCAGAGAAAAAAAAUUAAAAUUAAUAAUUAUUAUAUAUAAAAAUAAAUUGUGGUUUAAUUGUCUUCACAUCUUAGAAAACGCUUGUGAGACGACGUGUUACAGUUGAAGUAGAGAAGGAGCAAUCCGAGCCUCUUUUCCUUCUCAAAAUUUUGGAAUUUUUGAUGAAAUUGUAUUGUCUAUAUUGAUGGUGAAGGGUUGUAGUGGAUAAUAGAGUUUCAAAGACUCGUGUGGUGUCUGCACAAAAGUUAAUCGGAGAAGAUGAACUGUGUAUAUUCUUCUACUAUGCUAUUUUAUUGUGUUCCAUUCCAUUUGAUUGUUACUAAAAUAUGUUUUAUUUUGUUUAGAAAUAUAGUUUUUAAUUUUUUUAAAGUUCUUGUUACAUGUUUUUGAACAUGUAAAAAUCCCACUAUGAUAUAUAUUGUAUAGUUUAAUAUUACAUAAUAUAAUGUACUUUUUAUAUUUUGAUAUUUGAGUUUAGAUUUCAUAAUUUCACUAAUGUACUAUGCUAUGUAUUUUGUUCCAUUCUAUUUGGGUUUAGGAUUUAUACUUGGGUUUAUAAUUUAUAUUUGGGUUUAGAGUUUAAUAAUUAGAUUUUAGUAAUUAGGGUUUAGAGUUUCGUAUUUAUGAAUUGGGGAUAGUGUUUAGUAUUUAAGGAUUGUGGAUGUUGUUGCGUCCUUCUAUACUAUUUCAGUGACAUGGAGUAGAACAAUACGUGCAUUUGUAUAUUACCAUAUAUUUUUUUUAGAUGUUGGGGUUUGGGUAAUGUUUAGUAUUUAGGUGUUGCAUAGUGAUUGAGAUUUAGAGUUCAGUAUAUAGGGAUUGGGAUAAUGUUUAGUAGUUAGGGUUAUGAGUGGAGUUAUAAUUUUAUACUAUUUCAGUGAUAUGGAAUAGAACAAUCGAUGUAUAUAUGUGGUUAAUGAACAUGUGGCGUGGAUGUUUGAUAUGUGAUUAUAAACACGCUACGAAAAGAAAGACGUCGUCUAUUUUUCACUUGCAACUGAAAACCUGUUAUGAAAAAGGACAGAACCGGAUGAAAUGUGUUCAAAGAGUCUGACAUUAAAUUAUGUCAAAAUCAAUGCUACUCAUUUUAUUUAUCACUCAAAUAUAGUUAUUUGGCCAAUAAGCCCUUUAAAUUUCUGGCAAAAUAUUGAAAAAGAUUGCAGUUGCAAAAUAUUUUUGUUAUGCAUACUCUCCUUUAAUUUAUAUAUAUUUGCAUAUGCAAAUGAGGGACCAGAAGUUGUGGCAUUAUUUAUUUACUCCUAAAAAUCAGUAUUCUUUAUAAAUUUUUGAACCGUACAUAUACGUUCAUCGUAAGAAGGGCAUAUAAUACUAACGUGCACUUGGAAGAUAUAUAUUACUAUUAUUAACUGAUUUCUCGUUGCAGGGUAAGAACACACUUUGUAACACGCCUGCAAAAUAGUCAUAUUAUAUGCCCAUAUAAAACUGUGUAUAGUUCAAUUUUGGCAGUUAUUUCAUGUUUAAAACUUUAUUAUUAAUCUAUGUCUUUGCAAAAGAAGACAAUUUUCAUAAAAGAAGUCGGCUGCCAAAUAACUUGUUGGGCAAAAUGAUUUGUUAAUUAUUAAUUACAGUUUUGAUGAAAACUUUCGACCAAAAAAAAAGAAAAAAAGAUUUGAUGAAAACUUAACCAUCUCCUACUCUUCAGUGUCAUUCUUUUAGCGUUUCUAUGUAUAAUAAUUCACAUAAUCUUCUUACUUAAAGCCAUAAAUUCCUCACAAAAUCUCAGUUGAGUUCUAACAUUUUGAUAUCAAUGUAGGUACAUCUUUGUAGAAUCUAAGUUAGCACUUCCAAUGAGGAACCAAGAAGCAACAGAGAGAGGCAAAAACAAUAAAAACAACAUGAAAGCAAUGCUCAAAGAGGUACAAUCGGUUUCAUCAUAAGAGAGAUGACUCAGAGGCCAAGAGGUAGACCAUCUGCCUCCAAGAACAAACCUAAAUCACCAAUCACUGUGACUCACGAUAGUUCAAGUUCCCUCAGAGUUCAUGCCGUUAUGAUCAUCUCUGCCUGUGAGACUAUAUCAGAUUUCUCUAGAAGGAAGCAGAGAGCUCUCUGCAUAGUAAAUGCUAAUGGUUGAGUCACCAAUGUGACACUAAGGCAGCCAGCAUCAUCAUGAGCUAAAGUGACGUAACAUGGACGUUUCAAGAUCCUGUCAUUGCUACGAUCAAUUGUGCCUCCCACCAGCACUGCUUGGGAUCACCGGUUCGACCAUCAACGACAGGUUGGUGGUGGGCUAAUAGCAUCUGGUCUUGUUGUUCUGAUGGUUGCAUCUUUUAUGAACGCUGUGUUUGAUCACCUUCCUCAGGAUGAUGAUGAAGCUGCCUCAAAACAUGCUCACUAAUGGAAACUCAGGGAUAGUCUCCAUGCCCUGCUGCUGAAGUGCACCUUUCUCACCUUUCUCAGACGUAACUGAUGAUGCUGUUUUUGUGGCUUUUGAUAUAGGGAUGGCUAAACUGACGAACAUUCAAGCUGCUGAAAUUUUGGUAUACUCUAUAUACAUCAGUUUCCUAUUAACUUUUGAUAUUGCUUCUGUGUCAAGUAUUCUAAUUAAAUCUGUCUCGCGUUUUGCAGGUGGAAGGAGUUUAUGCUAAGGUUGACGCUGAACUCCUUCGGUUCGUUGCUGAAAUUUUUGGGAAGACGUACACCUUCCAGCUGAAGAUAGGCGAAUUCAAUUUCCCUUCAAAACCCCAAACCUUCACCAUCUCCUGUAUCUUUGCUGAGCGACAUCAGUCACCUUUGCCAGGCUUUGUUAUAGAUGUUGGUACCCGAUCCUAAUUUAGAUAUGCUGCUAACUCAGUUAUAUUAACAAUAAAUUUAAUAUUUUGAAAACACGGGGUGCAGAGGUUCCUGAUGCUCAUCUUCCUGGAGUGAGUGCACUAGCUUCGAAUGUCGCUGCAGAUGAGAACUCCAAUUUUUCUCCCCAGCCAUCCACGUCUGCUGAUCCAACUGUCGAAAUGUGAACUUGGCGAGAGUGGAACCAAGAAGGCACGCUUGGCAUAAGUUCACGUGGAUACCUUUGACAACCCCUAAAAUUUAUUAUCAAAUAAUAUGCUUUAGCAUCUUUUUCUACUUUGUGUUUAAAAAAAAAAGCAUAUUUUUCUAUUUUUGUUUUGAACUCACUGUAGUGAUCAGUGUUUGAAUUAUUAAUGAAAGUUUUUGUAGGAUACAUGUUCCAACAUUUUGUUAAGAUAAGUCAAGCAGUCAUGCGACCUUACGUAUGAACUUCGUACUUCUAAACACUUGGUAGUCUACGUUUGGUAGUCUACGUAAGCAGUUUAUGAUAAACUUGAAAUGUUUAUUAACUUUUAUUAAAGAAUACAUAACCAUACAAUUAAGCAGUGUACACGUUAAGUAUUUCCCCAAAACAAGAUUAAAAGCCUCAAAAUUGUAACAUCCAAGCAUUGCUGAGUACAUCACUACAUCCAAAUCUACACUGCAUGUGCCACUGUCAUUUAAAUACAUGUUACAUGUAAAAUUAUUAAAGAUGUACAAUAGUUGAAAGGUGUUGACAUAUAUAUAUAUAUAUAAUAUAUAUAUAUAUAUAUAUAUAUAUAUAUAUAUAUAUAUAUAUAUAUAUAUAUAUAUAUAUAUAUAUAUAUAUAUUUGACGUCCAAAACAAUAAAAACGUUUGUCUAUAUUAUCAAAGAAUAAAACUCAAAAGAAUAAAUAUAAACCAUUACAUUUUUAAAAUUCUUUUAUUUAAAAUUUUAUGUUCACUUAAAAGACGUUAGUGGUUUUUUUAACUCAAAUUAACAAAAUUAAAUAAAAUGUACAAUAUGAUUUAAAAAUAAAUAAAUUUAUCAUAUUCAAUUUAAAGCAAUAUUUCAAUUGUUCUAUAAAAUUAAAAUAUAUUUUAAUAUAAAAUAAUUUUAUUAUAAAUUCACCCGCCCGUAGGGCGGGCCAACCCCUAGUUAAUAUAAAUAUUUUGAAUAAAAUGAGAGAAGUAAAAUAAAAAUAUAGGGUUAAGUAUACUUAUGUUUGGUUAUCUUUGGAUAUCCAUUUGGGUUCGGAUAUUACAUGUUCGUAUUCAGAUAUUACCCAUUUAGGUUUGGAUAUAUCCAAUCUCUUCGAAUUCAAAAAUCGUUCGGGUAUUUUGGUACUUCGGUUCGGAUUUUUGGAUUGGAUUCAGAUGAAAAAUAUAUAUAUAAUACUUUACUAUUCUAGUAAAUGUAAACUAUGUAUAAACUAAUAACUGUUUGAUUUAUUAAAUGAAAAACCAGAAGAUAUAUAUGAUAAAUCGUUCAAAUCUCUCAUUUUUAUAAUUACAAUAGUUAGAUAGGAUAUUAAAGAAAAACUAAUAUUAGACGUAUGAUCAAAUCUCUCAUUGUUCGAACAAACUGAAAAAGAUGUGAUUGGAAUCUUGUCAUGAUAUUUCAUUAAAAGCUUUUUAGGAUUAAAAAUCAAGACUAAAUUAUCUAAUCUAAAUGAAAUAAUAUAUAUAGUGCUUCCAAUAUUAAAAAUCAUUUCGAUUUAAAGAAAUGUGUUUCUUAGAUCGUCAGGAUCAAAUAAGAUAUUAGAAAUCACAUAUUUAAAAUAUAAUUUGUAUACUUCCUUACUCAUAUGAUUUUUGUAACAUUUGUAUAUUUGCUGUAACAAAAAUUUAAACAGUUAAUAACAAAACUUUUAAUGUGAGAUAUUUCAAUACAAAUUUUGAAAUUAAAAUAUUAAGAUCUCAAUAAUUUUUCACUGCAAAUUUUGAAAUUAACAUAUGUAUAUAUUUUAUAUAGUAUAUAAUUUAUUUCAAAUGAUAUAUAUAUAUAUAUAUAUAUAUAUAUUAAUGAGACUUCAUAUUCAUAUGAUUUAAUAGGACUGGCAUUUUAUCCGAUACACGAACUUGUUAAUAGAGUUUUCUGGUGAUUUUCUUCAAAUUUUUGAUUUUUAGAUACGAAUCUGGAGUGGAACUACUUUUUACAUAUGUCUAUCUUUUUGGAUUUAUAGAAUAAGUUAAAAGAAGAAACUAAACUCACAUCAAUGAAACAAAGACGAGAACAAAAUCACAAUUUUAUAUAGGUAUAAAAUGAAAUCACUUAUGGAAAGUCAAUAGUAAACAAAUCCAGAGCAGAAAACCUAAUCCUUUUUUGUCAUUAUACUUGUCUAUUUGGUUAUAGUGAUUUGUGUUAGCCAUAAAACUUAAUUUCUUUUUGUGCAUAUAAAAUUUUAAAAAUAAUUAAAAAUGAGCUGUGAUACAUUAACUCUUCAAUAACUUAAUUUCUUUUUGUGCACAUAAAAUUUUAAAAAUAAUUAAAAAUGACCAACAUUUGUAUUCGUAAUUUUACAAUUGAUAAAAAUUGUAAUGUUGCAAAAUGUUAAAAUUAUUUAAUGAACAAACAUUAUUAUAAAAAUUAUGCGCGGUUAUCAUCUGGUACUUAUAUAUAUAUAUAUAUAUAUAUAUUAGUAAAUUUUAUUACCGCACUGUCCGCACAUAUGAGCAAAAUACAUAGUUUUUUUUAAAUAUCAGACGCUCGGUAAAAUAUGAAGCAAAUGCACGAAAAAAAAAAUGGCGACUUGGUGUAAUGAUGGAGAGGCAAUGCUGACGUGGCACAUUAUAAGAGAGAAUGAUAUGAUGUAACUCCUACUACUUCGUUAAUGGUAGUGAGUGAAGCCAGAAUCGUACACGUGGCACGUGAAGAACUCUGAUCGAUCGACGACCGUUCAGUUCAAAAAGAAUUCAGGAGGAGAAAACAAAAUAUAAAGUAAGGAAUAGUUUCCGUUACACAGAUCUUUCCGCUCCUCUGAUCGAUUUUCUCAGUCUCCAAAGAUUCUCUUUCUUCCGCCACCGCCGAAUUUGCAAUCUGUAAGUGAUUCUUUUCUUUCUUAUUUCCUUUCAGGUGAUUGAGAUUAUAUGUUCAUAGGGUAGGCUUUCUUGAUUUUUUUCUAACAGCUUGUGAUGAACUCAUCGAUUUCUGGGGAAAAGAUCAAAACGUAUUGUAGAUUUUGUUACAUCUUAUAAGUUUCCUAAUUUGAUCUGAGUUACGGUCGAUGACGUGAUCUUACCAAACUGAAAUGUAUAUUAGAUUGAUGAUGCUAGUUGAUUAUGUGAUUGGCCUAAUCAAACUGCCAUUGGUUGUGUGUAGAAAAUGAUUGGACUGCCCAGGACGCCCUCUAGUAAGAUAAACAGGGCCAAUCCCUCUUCUACACCUGGUGGUUCCAGAGUUACAGAGGAGAAUAUUCUUGUCACUGUCCGGAUGAGACCAUUGAACUCCAGGGAACAUGCCAAAUAUGACCUCAUUGCUUGGGAUUGUCCAGAUGAUCACACCAUAGUUUUUAAAAACCCCAAUCCUGAGAGAGCUGCCGCAAAAUAUUCAUUUGGUAUUUUUCAUAAAAGAAUCUCAUUGCUUUUCCUUUCCUUGUAUAUAAAUCUGUUGAUAAUAAACUAAACUAUCUUCUCUCCUUGACUUUUCAUGAAAACUAUAGACAAAGUAUAUGAGCCCACCUGUGCAACUCAGGAGGUUUAUGAAGGUGGUUCAAGGGAUGUCGCACUUUCUGCUUUAGCUGGAACCAACGGUGAUUAAGCAGAUAUCGGAUAUCCUCCUUUUGAUAAGCUUUAGUUUUAGAUAUGUGAAUUGUUUUCUCUUUUUUUUUUUAUCGCAGCAACCAUUUUUGCAUAUGGUCAGACCAGUAGUGGAAAGACCUUUACAAUGAGAGGGGUCACCGACGGUGUAGUUAAAGAUAUAUACGAGCAUAUAAGAAAAGUGAGUGACAAAUUUAAGGUCCCUAUCCCUUGGUUUGUUUACACACUGAAAUAGAUAUACUCUAAUCUAUGCAGACUCAAGAAAGGAGCUUUGUCUUGAAAGUAUCAGCUUUGGAGAUCUAUAAUGAGACUGUGGUUGACCUUUUAAAUCGUGAUACUGGGCCCCUUAGACUGUUAGAUGAUCCAGAGGUAUGUAAAGGGUCGGAAACACUAUAUUGAAUGCUGAAAGAGGCAUCCUUUAUCUUGGCUUGAUUGAGAAUGUUGUUGUCUACCUUGCAGAAAGGAAUCAUUGUAGAAAAUCUGGUUGAGGAAGUGGUUGAAAGCAGGCAACAUUUACAGCAUUUAAUUGGCAUUUGUGAAGGUAAAUCCUGUCAAAGUAUCACGUUUGCUCUCAAUUCUUGGUGCAUACACCUUGGGAGAGCAACACAAAUUAGUGAUAGAUGAACGGAGUAACUGAAAGCCUCGAACUCUUUUGAUAGCAUGUAUAAUAUAUGACUCAUUUUCUCUUCAAUCAGACGUGGUCAUUUACUUACUUGUUAUGUGAUUUUUCAUUUGCUUUUUUCAGGUCAAAGGCAAGUAGGUGAAACUGCUUUGAAUGACAAAAGUUCAAGAUCUCAUCAGAUUAUUCGGCUGGUAUGAUUUAUUCUCAUGCAUGAUAGAAUUAACAACUUAUUCCCUUAUGUUCUAAACAUGGACAAGAUAGAGGUGGAUAACAUUAUCUCAUGUUCUCUGCUUUUGAUAUUCAGACCAUUCAGAGCAGUUUAAGGGAAAUAGCAGGCCGUGUGCAGUCUUUCAUGGCAACUUUGGUGCGCCAUUUUAUGUUUUGGCUAAAGUUUCACUUGGCAUCUAAGAUACUAAGACACUCUAAUUGGUGCAGAAUCUUGUUGAUCUUGCUGGAAGCGAACGUGUUUCUCAAACAAACGCCGAUGGUCUAAGAUUGAAGGAAGGAAAUCAUAUUAACCAAAGCUUACUGACACUUACGACAGUUAUUAGAAAGCUGAGGUAAGAAAUAAUAACACAUGAUUGUCUUUGGGCACAUCUAAACUAUCUUUUAAAUUGAUGUAACACAUUAAUUUUUGUUAUUGUUAUUAUUUGGAUGUAGUUCUGGAAAACAAGGUGAUCACAUACCAUACAGAAACUCAAAGCUUACAAGGAUUCUGCAAAAUUCACUUGGCGGGAAUUCGAGAACUGCAAUAAUAUGCACCAUUAGUCCAGCCCUGAGCCACGUUGCGCAGACGAAAAAGACGCUUUCUUUUGCGACCAGUGCGAAGGAAGUCACAAACUGCGCUAAAGUAAACAUGGUAUGUCAGUUAUCUUUACUCCUCUGGCUACAAACGUCUAUAGGAGCCUGGUCAUAUACUUCAUUAAAUAAAAAGGGUUUUGCUUGUUCUUGACAGAAAACGUACCCUUCUGCUGGUAUUCAUUUCUGAGAUUGAUUCUCUUUUUUUGUUUUGGGUUAUAGGUGGUCUCAGAAAAAUUACUGUUGAAACAUCUGCAGCAAAAAGUAGCCAAACUCGAAUCAGAGUUAAGAAGCCCAGAGUCUAGUUCAUCUACCUGUUUAAAGUCUCUGUUAGUUGAGAGAGAGAAGAAAAUUCAACAGGUAAUGACUUCGCUGACUAAAACGGAAAACCACAACAGAUAUUAAAUGGAGCUUUAUUGUGAAGAAGGAAACUAAAGUGAUUAUAUAUUCGUGCACAAAAAAAAAAAAGUGAUUAAUAUAGUUCAUGUUAAUCUAAUUGCAGAUGGAAACAGAGAUGAAAGAGUUAAAGCGUCAGAGAGACAUUGCACAAUCUGAGCUUGAACAAGAAAGAAAAGGAAAAGAGCAGAAGGUAUGCGCACGGAUAUAAGAUACCAAAAUUUUACUGGGACAUGCCUGUAUAAUUGAUUUCUGAACCUUUUUCUCAGGUAGUAAGGUGUCUUUCGUACACUGCUCAGGAGGAGUCCACUCCAAGCAAAUCUGUUCCUAGAAGCCGCAGAACAAGUCGUGUCAAAAGAAAAGAUAAUGUGAGGCAGUCUCUAACUUCAGCGGAUCGAACAGCGCUAGCGCAAGAGAUCCGUUUGUUUGAGAAAAAUCAGAAGAAGUUAGGCGAGGAAGCAAACCAAGCGCUAGAUCUUAUUCACAAAGAAGUGACAUCUCACAAACUGGGUGAUCAACAAUCUGCAGAGAAAUUUGCGAAAAUGCUCUCAGAAAUCCGUGACAUGCAGAAGAGCAACCUUAUACCGGAGGAAACCGUGGUUGGUGAUGAAGCCAACUUGAAAGAGGAGAUAAACCGGCUGAACUCUGAAGAAAUUGCAGCUUUGGAGAAGAAGCUUGAGACUGUUCAGAAAUUUAUUGACAUGCUUGCGUCGUCUUGUCAGACAGAUGAAGAGACUCCAGAGUUCAGGACCCAGAUGAAAAAGAAGAGAGUUCUUCCCUUUGGAUUAAGUAAUAGUCCAAACUUACAGCAUAUGAUCCGGGCACCAUGUUCACCUCUUUCGUCUUCUGGGACUGAAAACAAGGCUCCUGAGAGCAAUGUCGUUUCUGCUAGGGAUAGUCGAACCCCCUCAAAGGAUGGAACCCCUGUGUCAUCUUCACGACAAGCGAAUUCUGUCGAUGUUAAGAGAAUGAAGCGUAUGUUUAAGAAUGCUGCGGAAGAAAAUAUACGUAACAUCAAAGAUUAUGUUACUGGAUUGAAAGAACGUGUGGCGAAGCUUCAGUACCAGAAGCAGCUUCUUCUUUGCCAGGUCAAUUUUUAUAAACUCGUGACUUUGAAUCAGCAACUCGGAAGCUUUUUCAUAUAUUUUUGUUUGUCCUUAGGUGAUAGAACUGGAGGGAAACGAGACAGCUGAGUCCGAUGAAUCUCAAAUGGAACGGCCCUUGUGUUUUGAAGAGCAGAGAAAGCAAAUCAUAAUGCUAUGGCAUCUUUGCCACAUCUCAAUCAUCCACAGGACGCAGUUCUACAUGCUGUUCAAAGGAGACCCAGCUGAUCAAAUCUACAUGGAAGUAGAGCUCCGCAGGCUGACGUGGCUCGAGCAGCACCUGGCCGAGUUGGGAAACGCAAGUCCAGCAUUGCUCGGCGAUGAACCUGCAAGCUACGUAGCAUCAAGGUAACCCGUAGUUCUUCCCUUUUUAUUUUGUAUUUGUCUUUUCUGGACUGAGUUAAGAAUCAUAUGUUGGUGGCGCAGUAUAAGAGCAUUAAAGCAGGAGAGAGAGUAUUUGGCAAAACGGGUAAACACGAAGCUAGGAGCAGAGGAAAGAGAGAUGCUGUACCUGAAGUGGGACGUAGCGCCUGUGGGAAAACAGAGGAGGCAACAGUUGAUCAAUAAACUGUGGACAGAUCCUCACAACACGGAGCACGUGAAAGAGAGCGCAGAGAUAGUGGCCAAGCUUGUGGGGUUUUGUGACUCGGGGGAGAACAUAAGGAAAGAAAUGUUUGAGCUCAACUUUGCUUCUCCUGCGGAUAAGAAGACAUGGAUGAUGGGUUGGAACUUCAUUUCAAACUUCUUGCAUCUCUAAGGCCAACUCGUUGUUCUCAACACGUCCUAACGUUCUUCUUUUUUUUUUGUCUCCUGUAAAUCCUUUAGAUUCUCCGAGUCUUUUGAAGCUAAACGUUGAAACUUAUUUCAUUUAAAAUCCUGAUAAUAGAUCGUUCCUCUUGAAAUUAUCAAGUCGAGGUGAGUUUGGAAGCGAGAUGUCUGAUUUUUUAGUUUCCAGUUCAUACAUGAUGAGCAUAGCAAAAGCAUUGGCUAAACACAAAUUUGCAAGCUGAGAUAUAAAUGGCCCACUUGGACCAAUUUAGGAGAUUGUAUGGACUCGUUAUGAAUGGUUAAAGUAAUGGAUUAGAAAAACAAUACUUUGUUUUAUAAAGAGUACUAGGACGGGUCCGUACUACGCGCGGAAUAUCUAUACUAUUAUUUGCAAAGUAAAUUUUUGGAAUCGAGCUCUCACUUUAAAAGUUAGAGUGGUUACUAUCGUUUAUACUCUUAAAGAAUAAAAUGUAUAACUAAAUUAAAAAAUAAAAACAAAAUUUUAAUUUAUUUGAUUAGAUAAUUGAUUAAAAUUAAUAAUAGUAAGAAUUAUCCAAAAUCUAAAAUAUAAUUUUAAAAAGAGAUAAUUUAUGUAUAUAUUGUAUUAUUAUCUGAAAAAGUCUUUUAGUGAAAAGUUAUAAACAUGAAUUAUAUAAUUAAUAUUAAUCAAAUAUAAUUCUUAAUUAUAUAAUUAAAAAUAGAAUAUUGAAUUAACCAAAAUAUAAAAUAUAAUUUAAAAAGAUAAUUUCUAUAUUGAUUAAAAUUAAUAAUAGUAAGAAUUAUCCAAAAUUUGAAAAUAUAAUUUUAAAAAGAGAUAAUUUCAGUAUAUAUUGUAUUGUUAUCUGAAAAAGUCUUUUAGUAAAAAGUUAAAAACAUGAAUUAUAUAACUAAACAUUAAUCAAAUAAAUUUCUUAAUUAUAUAAUUAAAAAUAGAAUAUAGAAUUAACUCAAAAAUCUAAAAAUAUAAUUAAAAAGAUAAUUUCUAUAUAUAUAUUGUAUUGUUAUCUGAAAAAGUAUUUUAGUAAAAAGUUAAAAACAUAAAUUAUAUAAUUAAAUAUUAAUCAAAAUUAUUUACGAAGUAAGUUUUUGGAAUCGAGCUCUCAUUUUAAAAGUUAGAGUGGUUAAUAUCGUUUAUACCCUUAAUGAAUAAAAUGUAUAACUAAAUUAAAAAAUAAAAACAAAAUUUUAAUUUAUUUUAUUAGAUAAUUGAUUAAAAUUAACAAUACUAAGAAUUAUCCAAAAUCUGAAAAUAUAAUUUUAAAAAGAGAUAAUUUAUGUAUAUAUUGUAUUAUUAUCUAAAAAAAGUCUUUUAGUAAAAAGUUAAAAACAUGAAUUAUAUAACUAAUAUUAAUCAAAUCUAAUUCUUAAUUAUAUAAUUAAAAAUAGAAUAUUGAAUUAACCAAAAUAUAAAAUAUAAUUAAAAAAAGAUAAUUUCUAUAUUGAUUAAAAUUAAUAAUAGUAAGAAUUAUCGAAAAUCUAAAAUAUAAUUUUAAAAAGAGAUAAUUUAUGUAUAUAUUGUAUUAUUAUCUGAAAAAGUCUUUUAGUAAGAAGUUAAAAACAUGAAUUAUAUAACUAAAUAUUAAUCAAAUAAAAUUAUUAAUUAUAUAAUUAAAAAUAGAAUAUUGAAUUAACCAAAAUAUAAAAAUAUAAUUAAAAAAUAUUAUUUCUAUAAAUAUAUUGUAUUGUUAUCUGAAAAAGUAUUUUAGUAAAAGUUAAAAAUAUAAAUUAUAUAAUUAAAUAUUAAUCAAAUAAUUUUUUUACUAAAAUUAUGAAUAUAGUGUACAAAGAACUUUUCAAAAAUUAUGAAAAUGUUUAACGCAUAUGAUGUAAUUGUUAGUAUCAAAUACUCUUCCAGGUUUAUUUUAAUUGUCCUUCUUGGUUUAUGCAUACAUAUUAAGAAAAAUAUGAUUUUGUAUAUUUCCAAAACAAAAACACAAUUACCUAUACACCUAAUCAUUUUUAACUAAUAGAAAAACAAAAUAGAGAAUCUUAUUAAUAAAUUUUGCAUUAAAACCACUAAAACGACACUUAUUUUGAAACGAAAAGUUUUCCCUACAACGAUAAUUAAAUCGAAACGGAGGGAGUAUAUUAUUUUUCUGUAAGUUUUUCUUUUAUGUUCAUUUGGUAGUGAGUGUGAUAAUAUUAACUGAUUUUACUUCUUUUUUGUUGUUAAAAAACCUUGUUUAAUUAAUAAAAAAUAUUAUCAUACAACAUAAAGUUUAUUUUCAUUUUUAUUUUUAUGUCAUCAUUAUAAUUUGUAAAUAGCAUUAAAUUACUGGGAAUUAUAUUUGAGAUUGAACGUAUAGAUUAUGAAUUUUGUAUUUGUUGUUUUUUUUUUUACUCCACUAAGACUUUUAAUUUAUCUUAUAUAUUUGCUUUUAAAUUUCUUGGUUUUAGUUAAUAAUAAAAAUAAAUAAUUGCUUACAAUAAAAAUACUUUUAGUAGAUUCUAUUAAAACAUUUAUUAAAUGAACUAUACCAUCCAAAGUGAUUAGAAUUUUUUUAACAAUAUUAUUAUUCAGUUUAAUCGUACAAUUAGUGACUGUUUUAAAUAUUCUAUUACCUUCUGUAUUUUUAUUUUCAUUGGUUUUACUGAGUAAUCUAUUAUUUUAUUUUAAAAUUUUACCAUAAUUUUAUUAUAGAACAAAAUAUAUAUUAGAAUAUAAUAUAUGUAUUAUGUUAAAAGUAGAUCAUGUGCUAUAAUUUUGGAUCAAGUUACAUUCAUUUAUUGAAUCAUUAAGUGUUAUAUAAUUGUUGUUUUAUUUUGUUGUUUGUGUGUUUAUAUUUUAUUAGAAUCGGCCCGCCCUACGGGUGGGAUAUACUUUCUUUGUGAUCUAAAUUAUUAUUUCUCUAUUAAUUUGUGGUUUGUGUUUAGCUUUGCAUUUGUAAGUGAUUGUGUAUGAUAAUGAUUUUUUUGUGUUUUGGAAAGUUUUGGGUGAAGAAGAAUUAUAUGUGAUAAGAUAUAUUUUAUUUGUUUACAAUAGUUGUUUCUAUAUAAAAAAGUUGUGCCAUUUAUAUGCUGUGAGGGCUUCAAAUGGUUUUCAUGUUGUUUCUUUUUACAAAAGUUUGAUCUCAUAUUCAUUGUCUUAUUUGUGGUUUUUAAUAUCUCGGGUUCGAAAAGAUUGGGUUGUGGAUAAUUAUUUUGUAAAUGUUGUAAGAGUAAUUACUCUUUAUAUUGAAAUCAUAGUAUUUCAACAUGCUAUUGGAGUGGAAGUAGUGAUUAUUUUAAGUUGCAUUUUUUAUUAAAAAUAGAAUGUUAUAUUGAAUGCAAAGAAAAUAGUAAAGCAAAGUUAACCGAAAUAAUAAAACAUUGAAACUUGAAAUUAUAAAGAUCAUAUUAGUUCCAUAACACUUCUUUUCAAUAUAGAGACGUCAUGUAAGGAACAUUUUGAUUUAUUUCCAGCUCAAGACAUGUCGGUUUGCCGUUCAUGACGAAUACAUACAUUUCAUGCAUUCUUUAUAUUCUCAUGUCCAUAGCAAAAUUAUUGCAUAGAGAUAGUUACCUUUACCACAAUUGUUAUUUGAAUAUGCCAAGAUGUAUUAGUCCUUGUUGCGGUUUUGUUUCAUUGUCAAUUGUUUGUUUUUAUUUCCUAAUACUAAUUUUUUAAUCUCUCAUAUACUGACUUUUACAGUCAUCGAUCUGAAAUAAACUGAACGGUUUUACAAUAUUUUAAUUUCUCUAUUCUACAAUUAAAAUAAAAGUAAAGAAAAAAACAUUGGUUAAAAUUUAUUCGUAUGUUUAAACAAAAUCAUGGACAGCGGUCUAUCUUGGAACUUCUAUGUGCGCAGAACCAAGUAAAUUAUAAAGUUCUCUUUUAAUUUUUAUAUACUAUCAUCUAUGUAUACGUUAUAACAUUUAAUUUCUUAAAUUACCUCUUUAUAUAUUAGCAUGCACAUUUGACUAUUUUUCUAUGAUGUUUCCAUUUCUGAACUAAGUUUUUGUUUAAGAAAAACAUAUAACACAAUUAUAUUAUCAAAGCAACAUCAUUCACAAUUUACAUGUAUUUUGUGUCAGUCCAUUAGAUGUCAAAUGAGAGCGGAAUUUUGGUCUUGAAAAAAGACACUUUGUUCAUAUUAUUCUUGAGAUUAUGUGAUUAGUAUGAGAAAGCGUAAUUGGCUGGUUUUGAAAGUGGGCCAUCAAGUAUUAACUUUCAAGUAGCCGAGUUUUGUUAUCUUAUUAUAUUAAAGGCCCUUUGUAUUACGGCAACAACAGAGUUUGACGAAAAGUGUAUAAAAUUUGGAAGACUUCUUACCAUGGCUCAAGCUUCAUUUGUAGCGUUGGUUCAGAACCAGAUAACAUAAAAGAGAUUAACAGCAUGUAUACUGGUUCUAAAGUUUCUGUUACAACUGUUGUUGUUGCUUUGUUGCUGGACAUUUCCAAAACCCAUAUGAACAAUACUUUGUAUAUCAUUUUCCCAGUAUCCAUAUCUGAAAAUCAAAACAGAAAACACAUAAAUAUUUGAACACGUUGGGUUUACAAUACAUCUCAGGAAUCUAUGACACUAACUUAUAAUUACCUUAGUUUGAACAAAUACAUAGUUCGAGAGGAAUUGCGUGUCUGAGAAUCUAGGCAAGAGAAUAGUAUCCUAACGGAAGUCUUUGCUCUGAGCAAGCAAUUGUGUAAAGCAUAUUUUCUUUUACCUUUAUGGAUAAAGCAGAGCAUUGCGGUUAGACUCCAUCCUUGGAUUUAUUGUAGCCAGCUUCAUGUACAAUAGCUGAAGAAAAACAGAACAAAUGUUUCAGAUCUUAAGAAGAAUUUAAAUCCAGUUUUAAAGAAAUAUUUCAUACAAAAUGUGAUUAUACCUCAACUUGUCUCUCUAAGGACUGCACAUAGUUCGCAAAUUGUAAGGACUUCUAAAAGAUCAACUCCAGGGAUCCGACAUUAAUCCUCUCAUUUCGCCGAAAGGUCAUAAAAACGAGGGUUCAGGAUCCAAUUAAAAAAAAAGUGUUGCUAGGGAAAGAGUAUCCUACGAGAUACUUAAAAAAAAUACUGUACAAAGAUUUGAAAUAUAGUUUUCAAAAAAUCAUUAUAUUACUUAUUAUUUUCUUUUUAUUUAAUUACUAAUUAAUAUUCAUUGCAACGAAAUAUUUAAGACAUUUUUUUGAGUUAAUUAACAGCUUCUAUUUUUUUUUUCUUGUUCUUUAUGGACCCUAAAAUUAAAAUAGAAGAUUGGGGGUGAAUCAUAAAUCCAAAGGAGGUUUCAUGGCCAAAGGUAAAGAUGUUCGAGUAACAAUUAUUUUGGAAUGUACCAGUUGUGUUCGAAAUGAUAUUAAGAAAGAAUCGGCUGGAAUUUCCAGAUAUAUUACUCAAAAGAAUCGGCAUAACACUCCUAGUCGAUUGGAAUUGAGAAAAUUCUGUCCCUAUUGUUAUAAACAUACAAUUCAUGGGGAAAUUAAGAAAUAGAUAAAAUUGAGUGCUUGUAUGUCAAAUUUUAUUUUAAGAACAGGAAUAAUGAGAGUAUCUACGUAUUAUUACAUAUAUAUAAAUAUAAACAAAUAAAAUAAUAGAAAGAAAUCAAAUCCUAUAUUCUUAAUUCUAUAUAGAAACUCUAUCCUAUAUAGAAAUAGCAAUCGUUUUUAU